rnacentral:rRNA from 1 species
GUAAAAGAGAACAUUAUUGGCUUUUUAGUUAAUUUUUAUUAAUUUAAAUGGUUAGUUUUUAGGUGGAAUUUAUAACUAUGUUGUAAUAUUUUUAAUUAUAAUGAUGCUAUGAAACUUAUAAUAUAAACAAGGAUUAGMURCCCHUKUNNNNNNNNNAUUAANUUUUUNNNGGCCUGGUAGAUCCGGUAAGGUUCUUGAAACCCCAAGGAUUUGGCGGGAUUUUAGUCUUUUCANAGGAACCCUGCCCCUUAAUUCGACAUCCCACGAUUUCAUUUACUUUUGCUUGUUAUCCAGUUUGUAUAUCUCCGUCAUAAGAGAGUCUUUUUAGAGUAAAUUUUCUUUUCCUUUAAAUAAGAAUAUGUCAGGUCAAGGUGCAAUUUAUGUAAAAGUGGAGGUGGGUUACAAUAUAUUUAUAUAUAUGGAUUGAUAUUUUUGUAGUGUCAUGAAGGUGGAUUUGAUAGUAAGGCUGUUUUGUUUUAUCGGCUUGAUUCUAGCUCUAAAAUAUGCACACAUCGCCCGUCGCUCUCACUUUAAAGUGAGAUAAGUCGUAACAUAGUAGGCGUAUCGGAAGAUGCGCCUAGCAAGAAUUUAU